UAGAGUUUGAUCCUGGCUCAGGAUGAACGCUGGCGGUCUGCUUAACACAUGCAAGUCGAACGCAACCUUCGGGUUGAGUGGCGGACGGGUGAGUAACGCGUGAGAAUCUGCCUUGGGGUCGGGGACAACCACUGGAAACGGUGGCUAAUACCGGAUAAGCCUUUGGGUAAAAAAUUUAUUGCCCCAAGAGGAGCUCGCGUCUGAUUAGCUAGUUGGUGAGGUAAGAGCUCACCAAGGCAGCGAUCAGUAGCUGGUCUGAGAGGACGAUCAGCCACACUGGGACUGAGACACGGCCCAGACUCCUACGGGAGGCAGCAGUGGGGAAUUUUCCGCAAUGGGCGAAAGCCUGACGGAGCAAGACCGCGUGAGGGAGGAAGGCUCUUGGGUUGUAAACCUCUUUUCUCAGGGAAGAAGCUCUGACGGUACCUGAGGAAUCAGCCUCGGCUAACUCCGUGCCAGCAGCCGCGGUAAUACGGAGGAGGCAAGCGUUAUCCGGAAUUAUUGGGCGUAAAGCGUCCGCAGGUGGCGAUUCAAGUCUGCUGUCAAAGCACGGGG
rnacentral:rRNA from 1 species